rnacentral:rRNA from 1 species
UACGGAAGGGCUAGCGUUGCUCGGAAUCACUGGGCGUAAGGUGCGUAGGCGGGUCUUUAAGUCAGGGUGAAUCCUGGAGCUCAACUCCAGAACUGCCUUGAUACUGAAGAUCUUGAGUUCGGAGAGGUGAGUGGAACUGCGAGUGUAGAGGUGAAAUUCGUAGAUAUCGGGAGGAAUACCAGUGGCGAAGGCGGCUGCCUGG